rnacentral:rRNA from 1 species
AGAGUUUGAUCAUGGCUCAGAGCGAACGCUGGCGGCGUGCUUAACACAUGCAAGUCGAGUGCGCGCCCGUAGCAAUACGGGUGGCGCACGGCGCACGGGUGCGUAACACGUGGGCAAUCUGCCCUCCGAUGGGGAAUAACCCCGCGAAAGCGGGGCUAAUUCCGCAUAACAUUCCUUGAACUACGGUUCGGGGACUCAAA